rnacentral:rRNA from 1 species
UACGGGGGGUGCAAGCGUUGUUCGGAAUUACUGGGCGUAAAGGGCUCGUAGGCGGCCAAUUAAGUCGGAUGUGAAAUCCCCAGGCUUAACCUGGGAACUGCAUCCGAUACUGGAUGGCUUGAAUUCGGGAGAGGGAUGCAGAAUUCCAGGUGUAGCGGUGAAAUGCGUAGAUAUCUGGAGGAACACCGGUGGCGAAGGCGACAUCCUGGACCGGUAUUGACGCUGAGGCGCGAAAGCCAGGGGAGCAAACGGG